rnacentral:lncRNA from 1 species
UUUUCAGUAAAACCAUUUCUAAAGUUGUGAUAUAUUUACAUUUGAUGGUUUCAGCACAUUAAAUAUUGUUUUAUGAUUACAGAAACAUGAAUAUUUAUUGUGCUGAUAUUCUAUGACAUUGAAAAAAGUAAAAUAACAAAAAUACCUAACUCCGAGGAAAAUACAAAGCGGAAAAAUCUAGAACAAAAUGUCGAAAUCAAAAGCUCAAAUAAUGGAACAGCAGUAAAGUGUUGUUCAAACACAUUCUAAACCGACUCCUGUUGGGAAGUUAAGCAGUGCUCCAUUGUUACCUUCAGGAAAACAAGCUGCAGUAUUCGCUUUUUUUUUAUUCGAUUAAAUUUUUUCCAGGCUACUGCCGUAUGAAACUUUUCUUCGACGGAUCAAUUUUAUAAAUUUUGUUGUAUAUUUGUACAAAUUGUUGUAAAUAUUAAUUAAGAAAUGAAAAAAAAAGUAUUUGAUCAACUGUUCAUUUUAUACUGUGUAAUUGUAUGCAGGCGCAC